rnacentral:rRNA from 1 species
AUUGAACGCUGGCGGCAUGCCUUACACAUGCAAGUCGAACGGCAGCACGGGAGCAAUCCUGGUGGCGAGUGGCGAACGGGUGAGUAAUAUAUCGGAACGUGCCCAGUCGUGGGGAUAACGUAGCGAAAGUUACGCUAAUACCGCAUACGAUCUAAGGAUGAAAGCGGGGGACUCGCAAGAGCCUCGCGCGAUUGGAGCGGCCGAUAUCAGAUUAGGUAGUUGGUGGGGUAAAGGCUCACCAAGCCAACGAUCUGUAGCUGGUCUGAGAGGACGACCAGCCACACUGGGACUGAGACACGGCCCAGACUCCUACGGGAGGCAGCAGUGGGGAAUUUGGACAAUGGGCGCAAGCCUGAUCCAGCAAUGCCGCGUGCAGGAUGAAGGCCU